GGUAUAGCCAUGUCUACCAAGCUGAAAAAUAAAGUUAUUGUACUGUUGUCAUGGGCACUUUUGCUGCAGCUAGAUCUAGAUUACUUUGCUCUGGCUGCUGACAUCACAAAAGAGGAAGAUCUACUGACAGUGUGUCCUGGAGAGUUGGUCUCUCUCACUUGCACUCAUAACGAUGUUGCUGGUGGGCUAACUCGCUGGCAAGUCAGCGGUCCGAUGUCUUGCGUUGCAUUGGUUCCCCAUGAUGCCGGGUUGCAAGAAGACGUCUGUGGUCCAUUCACUAUCACCAUGAUCAGUGAUAACUCUGGGUCUACACUGAGCUCAACUAUUCAGAUACCUGCCACUGAAACAUUGAACAGUACUCUGGUGACGUGCCUCGCUGGUAGCAGUGGGUCUUCUC